rnacentral:rRNA from 1 species
CACGUAGGGGGCAAGCGUUGUCCGGAUUUAUUGGGCGUAAAGAGCUCGUAGGCGGUUCGAUAAGUCGGGUGUGAAACCUCCAGGCUCAACCUGGAGACGCCACCCGAUACUGUUGUGACUAGAGUCCGGUAGGGGAGCGUGGAAUUCCUGGUGUAGCGGUGAAAUGCGCAGAUAUCAGGAGGAACACCAGCGGCGAAGGCGGCGCUCUGGGCCGGUACUGACGCUGAGGAGCGAAAGCGUGGGUA